GUAAAAAAUCAUCAAUGUAGAUAUUAUACAACUAAAUACUGAUUGGGAAGAAAAUCGAGUCUUUUCCGUUUGACUUUGAUCUCCUUCUUCUCGAUCAAAAAUUUCGUGGGAUGAUUAACCUACAACUUUAGGUUUGUUUUCCCAUCGAAGACAUAGUUGAAAAACAAUGACUAAAGGAGCGUUACAUAAUAGUAAUUCAUGCUUAGACGCCUCAUAUCAAGGUCUUCAUCCUUACACUAUUAGCCCUUGCAUUAGAUGAAACGAAAGAGUGGAGUAACUCAUGCGCGGUUAAUUGCAUCAAGUGAGACAAUUACAGAAAGGGUCAUCUUCAUGUACACUUGAUGUGAUUUGCUAUUGAAAAUGCAGGCUAUCAACCCUCUUUUUGUCGAGAAAGUAGGAUAGAUCUUUAUGUUCCUCACACAUCGGCUAAUCUAUUGUAUGAAGCAAUAUGAAAAGGAUGCGACAAAGUCAACAAUUCUAGGAUUACAAGGUAGCUUGCAGCAAAAUCUGUGCGACUAUGAUAGCGUGAGUUACAGUGGCUGAAAAUCUAAAAUAUAAUACUUCAGUCAGAUUUGAGUCUGCACAUGGGGCGACUGUAUAGAAUAAAUUUUGUCAAACACUCUUACUUCGUAGACCAUAUCAUUGCUGAAAAUGUUUGUUGGCUUUUCAAUGAGAACUGGGCUUCUCAGUUUGUAAGGAGACGGACCAUUCUUUGUAGCCGUUUUAUAUACAGUUGUCGUCUCGGAUACAAUUGGAGUAUGCAUAUAUAUUUAGUACUGAUGUCACUACAGAGGGAAAAGGAGCUGAUUGUAUAGAUGUAAAUGUAGAUAUAUGAUGUAAUUGUUUCUUGAUUUACUGUGUUUGUAUUGAGUUCUA